GAAAAAUGGAAUUUAGUCCAGAAAAGUCAUAUAAGUGUUGACAAGAAUUCAGCAGAGAGAUAAGAGAUAAACUGAAGAGGAGGUUUGAACAUUAUCAUUUGAGAUUGAGAGGUCUGAAAGAGAACAUAUGGUGUUACCUCAGCUGAGAUAACAGUGCUUUGCUACCGGAAU
rnacentral:lncRNA from 12 species